rnacentral:rRNA from 1 species
GACAGAGGGUGCUAGCGUUGUUCGGAAUGACUGGGCGUAAAGGGCGCGUAGGCGGGAAUAUUAGUCAAGCGUGAAAGCCCCGGGCUUAACCUGGGAACAGCGCAUGAAACGGUAUACCUAGAGGACGAGGGAGGGAAGCGGAAUUCCUAGUGUAGAGGUGAAAUUCGUAGAUAUUAGGAGGAACACCAGAGGCGAAGGCGGCUUUCUGGCUCGUAACUGACGCUGAGGCGCGAAAGCGUGGGGAGCAAACAGG